AUCCAGUUGACGAGUGCCUAAUGGGACGAAACGCACUUCCUAGAU
rnacentral:hammerhead_ribozyme from 1 species